AAACUUUGCGUCUGUGGUUGAAAGCCGACGCCAGUCGCAGGCAAAACGGCCCACGUAAGCAGCGCCUUUGGCGCGGUGAGCAUAGUGCGGCUAGACGUAAGCCCGUCCUUCCGAAAAAGGAAGAGAGGAGUAAGAGUGGCGUAAUGCCGCGGGGCUCCCAGGCGGCGAAUGUGGGGGAAAAGACCAGGUCAGGCAAAUCUU
rnacentral:ncRNA from 1 species